rnacentral:lncRNA from 10 species
GCGGUGGCAGCGACGGCCCCGGGCCCGGAGAUGGUGGAGCGGAGGGGCCCGGGGAGGCCCCGCACCGACGGGGAGAACGUAUUUACCGGGCAGUCAAAGAUCUAUUCCUACAUGAGCCCGAACAAAUGCUCUGGAAUGCGUUUCCCCCUUCAGGAAGAGAACUCAGUUACACAUCACGAAGUCAAAUGCCAGGGGAAACCAUUAGCCGGAAUCUACAGGAAACGAGAAGGUAAGCUUUUGAAAUGGCCUCGUUCUGAUCCCAGCUGGUCGGGUUGCAGAAGCCUCUGUCCUCUGCAAGAAUGCACAUAUGUAUUUAUCCAACCUUUUCAGUCUCAGAUUCGAGAGGUUUGAGCCAUGUUCUGUCUUGCUGCUGAAAGAAUGGCUUGUCCCAGGGUGUGUGCCCUGUUGGUUUGACAGGUUUUCCCUGCUUUCACAAGAGUUAGCAUAUCCUUCAAGCUUGAUUGUCUUGCUUAGUUGCAAAAAUAACAUACCUGACCCACAAUUAGAGAGGCUCACAAGUGCUGAAAGUGCAGAAGUCAUGAAUUCAGGUUGUACAGACCAGGCAAUUGCAGACCUAACUAAUGUGUUCAUGUAGGGAACUGACUUCCUUCCCUUUUAUGAGCUGGCCUUGACCCCAUUUCUUUUUCUUUUUUUGAGACGGAUUUCCGCUCUCGUCCCUCAGGCUGAAGUGCAAUGGCACGAUCUCAGCUCACUGCAACCUCCGCCUCCUGGGCUCAAGCGAUUCUU